rnacentral:piRNA from 1 species
AACCGUCGGCGUCUCUCUGAGCU